rnacentral:rRNA from 1 species
GAUGAACGCUGGCGGCGUGCCUAAUACAUGCAAGUCGAGCGAACAGACGAGGAGCUUGCUCCUCUGACGUUAGCGGCGGACGGGUGAGUAACACGUGGAUAGCCUACCUAUAAGACUGGGAUAACUUCGGGAAACCGGAGCUAAUACCGGAUAAUAUAUUGAACCGCAUGGUUCAAUAGUGAAAGACGGUUUUGCUGUCACUUAUAGAUGGAUCCGCGCCGCAUUAGCUAGUUGGUAAGGUAACGGCUUACUAAGGCAACGAUGCGUAGCCGACCUGAGAGGGUGAUCGGCCACACUGGAACUGAGACACGGUCCAGACUCCUACGGGAGGCAGCAGUAGGGAAUCUUCCGCAAUGGGCGAAAGCCUGACGGAGCAACGCCGCGUGAGUGAUGAAGGUCUUCGGAUCGUAAAACUCUGUUAUUAGGGAAGAACAAAUGUGUAAGUAACUAUGCACGUCUUGACGGUACCUAAUCAGAAAGCCACGGCUAACUACGUG